CCUUCGGGAAAUUAGUAAAGUGGCGCAAGGGUGAGUAUCACGUGAAUAAUCUGCCCUCGAGAUCGGGAUAACAUGGUGAAAACUAUGCUAAUACCGGAUAAGACCACAUUUCAUAAGAAAUGCGGUAAAAGGAGUCUCAAUCUUCACUCGAGGAUGAGUUCGCGCAACAUUAGCUUGUUGGUGAGAUAAAAGCUCACCAAGGCUACGAUGUUUAGCCGGCCUGAGAGGGUGAACGGCCACACUGGAACUGAGACACGGUCCAGACUCCUACGGGAGGCAGCAGUGGGGAAUAUUGCGCAAUGGGCGAAAGCCUGACGCAGCAACGCCGUGUGAGCGAUGAAGGCUUUAGAGUCGUAAAGCUCUGUCAAAUGGGAAGAAUUCUGACGGUACCAUUAGAGGAAGCCCCGGCUAACUCCGUGCCAGCAGCCGCGGUAAUACGGAGGGGGCAAGCGUUGUUCGGAAUUAUUGGGCGUAAAGCGUAUGUAGGCGGCUAAGUAAGUCAGGCGUGCAAGCCCGUGGCUCAACCACGGAAUUGCGUUUGAAACUGUUUAGCUUGAGUACAGGAGAGGAAAGCGGAAUUCCCAGUGUAGCGGUGAAAUGCAUUGAUAUUGGGAAGAACAUCUGUGGCGAAGGCGGCUUUCUGGUCUGUUACUGACGCUGAGAUACGAAAGCCAGGGUAGCGAACGGGAUUAGAUACCCCGGUAGUCCUGGCUGUAAACGAUGGGCACUAGGUGGAGGAGGUAUCGAUCCCCUCUCUGCCGUAGCUAACGCGUUAAGUGCCCCGCCUGGGGAGUACGGUCGCAAGGCGAACUUUAAAAUGGAUUGCG
rnacentral:rRNA from 2 species